AGGACUAACGCUGGCGGCGUGCCUAACACAUGCAAGUCGAACGAGAGUAGCAAUACUCUAGUGGCAGACGGGUGAGUAACACGUGGUCAACCUACCUUUAAGUGGGGGAUAACUAGCCGAAAGGUUAGCUAAUACCGCAUACGAUCUUCGCGUGGCAUCACAUGAAGAUGAAAGGAGCAAUCCGCUGAAAGACGGGACCGCGUCCCAUUAGCCAGUUGGUGGGGUAACGGCCUACCAAAGCAACGAUGGGUAGCUGGCUUGAGAGAGCGACCAGCCACACUGGGACUGAGACACGGCCCAGACUCCUACGGGAGGCAGCAGUGAGGAAUUUUUCCGCAAUGGGCGAAAGCCUGACGGAGCGACGCCGCGUGUGGGAUGAAGGCCUUCGGGCGUAAACCACUGUCGAAGGGGAGAUAUUGACGGUACCCUUGGAGGAAGCCCGGCUAACUACGCGCCAGCAGCCGC
rnacentral:rRNA from 1 species